UUCUACCCUAUAACCCCGCCUUUCUCUUUUCCUCACCGUCAAAUCGAAAAUAACGACGCUACACAUCGCAUAAGGGGCGCAUCAGAAUUAGAAUUGUCCCGAUGUGUCAGCAGAGAUAAAGGUUA
ensembl:ncRNA ZK1193.7 ncRNA